CCUACGGGGCGCAGCAGUGGGGAAUAUUGCACAAUGGGGGGAACCCUGAUGCAGCGACGCCGCGUGGGUGAAGGAGUAUUUCGGUAUGUAAAGCCCUAUCAGCAGGGAAGAACAAUGACGGUACCUGACUAAGAAGCACCUGCUAAAUACGUUCCAGCAGCCGCGGUAAUACGGAUGGUGCAAGCGUUAUCCGGAUUUACUGGGUGUAAAGGGAGCGCAGGCGGGGCGUUAAGCCUGGUGUGAAAGCCCGCGGCCCAACCGCGGGACUGCAUGGGAAACUGGCGAGCUGGAGUGCCGGAGGGGUAGGCGGAAUUCCUAGUGUAGCGGUGAAAUGCGUAGAUAUUAGGAGGAACACCAGUGGCGAAGGCGGCUUACUGGACGGUGACUGACGCUGAGGCUCGAAAGCGUGGGGAGCAAACAGGAUUAGAUACCCUUGUAGUC
rnacentral:rRNA from 1 species